rnacentral:rRNA from 1 species
AUUGAACGCUGGCGGCAGGCUUAACACAUGCAAGUCGAACGAGUGGCGGACGGGUGAGUAAUGCUUGGGAAUCUAGCUUAUGGAGGGGGAUAACUACGGGAAACUGUAGCUAAUACCGCGUACCAUAGGAUGAGCCCAAGGGGGAUUAGGUAGUUGGUGAGGGAAAGGCUCACCAAGCCGGAGAUCUCUAGCUGGUCUGUGAGGAUGACCAGCCACACGGGGACGGAGACACGGCCCAGACUCCGACGUGAGGCAGCAGUGGGGAAUAUUGCACAAUGGGCGCAAGCCUGAUGCAGCCAUGCCGCGUGUGGGAAGAAGGCCUUCGGGUUGUAAAGCACUUUCAGCGAGGAGGCGUUACUCGCAGAAGAAGCACCGGCUAACUCCGUGCCAGCCGCCGCGGUAAUAC